rnacentral:rRNA from 1 species
GACGAACGCUGGCGGCGUGCUUAACACAUGCAAGUCGAGCGGUAAGGCCCUUUCGGGGGUACACGAGCGGCGAACGGGUGAGUAACACGUGGGUGACCUGCCCUCAGCUCUGGGAUAAGCCUGGGAAACUGGGUCUAAUACUGGAUAUGACUCCACGGUGCAUGUCGUGGGGUGGAAAGCCUUGUGCGGCUGAGGAUGGGGCCCGCGGCCUAUCAGCUUGUUGGUGGGGUGAGGCCUACCAAGGCGACGACGGGUAGCCGGCCUGAGAGGGCGACCGGCCACACUGGGACUGAGACACGGCCCAGACUCCUACGGGAGGCAGCAGUGGGGAAUCUUGCGCAAUGGGCGAAAGCCUGACGCAGCGACG